rnacentral:rRNA from 1 species
AGAGUUUGAUCAUGGCUCAGAUUGAACGCUGGCGGAAUGCUUUACACAUGCAAGUCGAACGGCAGCACGGGUGCUUGCACCUGGUGGCGAGUGGCGAACGGGUGAGUAAUGCACCGGAACGUAUCCAAUAAUGGGGGAUAACGCACCGAAAGGUGUGCUAAUACCGCAUACGCCCUGAGGGGGAAAGCGGGGGAUCGUAAGACCUCGCGUUAAUGGAGCGGCCGAUGCCGGAUUAGCUAGUUGGUGAGGUAAAGGCUCACCAAGGCGACGAUCCGUAGCUGGUCUGAGAGGACGACCAGCCACACUGGAACUGAGACACGGUCCAGACUCCUACGGGAGGCAGCAGUGGGGAAUUUUGGACAAUGGGCGCAAGCCUGAUCCAGCCAUGCCGCGUGAGUGAAGAAGGCCUUCGGGUUGUAAAGCUCUUUCAGCCGGGAAGAAAACGCAUGGGUUAAUACCCUGUGUGGAUGACGGUACCGGAAUAAGAAGCACCGGCUAACUACGUG